UCUCCUGCUUUGAGAAAGGAAGAGAUCAGGUUGGUCUGGCAUGAUCUAACCUGUGUAAAACCAUGUUGUAUUUUAUCCCAAUUACCAUUUAACUCUAAGUCCUUAACUACUUCCUCUUUCAAAAUGUGUUCCAAGACCUGGCAUACAAUUGAGGUCAAACUAACAGGCCUGUAG